UGGAUCCAGACUUUGAUUAUGGCUCAGGAUGAACGCUAGCUACAGGCUUAACACAUGCAAGUCGAGGGGAAACGACAUCGAAAGCUUGCUUUUGAUGGGCGUCGACCGGCGCACGGGUGAGUAACGCGUAUCCAACCUGCCCAUCACUUGGGGAUAACCUUGCGAAAGUAAGACUAAUACCCAAUGACAUCCCACGAAGGCAUCUGAAUGGGAUUAAAGAUUUAUCGGUGAUGGAUGGGGAUGCGUCUGAUUAGCUUGUUGGCGGGGUAACGGCCCACCAAGGCAACGAUCAGUAGGGGUUCUGAGAGGAAGGUCCCCCACAUUGGAACUGAGACACGGUCCAAACUCCUACGGGAGGCAGCAGUGAGGAAUAUUGGUCAAUGGGCGAGAGCCUGAACCAGCCAAGUAGCGUGCAGGAUGACGGCCCUAUGGGUUGUAAACUGCUUUUAUAAGGGAAUAAAGUGAGUCUCGUGAGACUUUUUGCAUGUACCUUAUGAAUAAGGACCGGCUAAUUCCGUGCCAGCAGCCGCGGUAAUACGGAAGGUCCGGGCGUUAUCCGGAUUUAUUGGGUUUAAAGGGAGCGUAGGCCGGAGAUUAAGCGUGUUGUGAAAUGUAGUGGCUCAACCUCUGCACUGCAGCGCGAACUGGUCUUCUUGAGUACGCACAACGUGGGCGGAAUUCGUGGUGUAGCGGUGAAAUGCUUAGAUAUCACGAAGAACUCCGAUUGCGAAGGCAGCUCACGGGAGCGCAACUGACGCUGAAGCUCGAAAGUGCGGGUAUCGAACAGGAUUAGAUACCCUGGUAGUCCGCACGGUAAACGAUGGAUGCCCGCUGUUGGCCUGAAUAGGUCAGCGGCCAAGCGAAAGCAUUAAGCAUCCCACCUGGGGAGUACGCCGGCAACGGUGCAACUCAAAUGAAUUGACGGA
rnacentral:rRNA from 2 species